rnacentral:rRNA from 1 species
UACGUAGGGGGCGAGCGUUGUCCGGAUUUAUUGGGCGUAAAGAGCUCGUAGGCGGUCUGUCGCGUCGGCUGUGAAAACCCGGGGCUCAACCCCGGGCCUGCAGUCGAUACGGGCAGACUAGAGUGUGGUAGGGGAGACUGGAAUUCCUGGUGUAGCGGUGAAAUGCGCAGAUAUCAGGAGGAACACCGGUGGCGAAGGCGGGUCUCUGGGCCAUAACUGACGCUGAGGAGCGAAAGCGUGGGGAGCGAACAGG